GUCUGCGUAGCUCAGUAGGAUAGAGCACAGGAUUCCUGAAAAUUGGGCGCCUUGAAGAGAAAUCUUCAAAGUGGAUCUGUUCAAAUUCGGGGAACGCUUCAUAGGGAACUAUAUGCCAAUCCCGAGCCAAGCCUCUCUUAACACAGAGAGGAAGGUGUAGAGACUGAACGGGCAGCACCUAAAAAGCGCGAGCUUCAAGGUGAAGAGACAGUCCAGACCACGAACAGCCUGUUUUAAUAAGGCUGGCGAUGAAAAUCGAAGUGGUAUGAAUCCUGGGGUCGCAGGUUCGAAUCCUGCCGUGGACACCA
rnacentral:tRNA from 1 species